rnacentral:rRNA from 1 species
ACGCUCGACACCUACUGGAGGCAGCAGUGGGGAAUAUUGCACAAUGGGGGAAACCCUGAUGCAGCGACGCCGCGUGAGCGAAGAAGUAUCUCGGUAUGUAAAGCUCUAUCAGCAGGGAAGAAGAUGACGGUACCUGACUAAGAAGCACCGGCUAAAUACGUGCUAGCAGCCGCGGUAAUCUGAGCGGGCUGGCAAGGC